GGGGCAACCUGGCGGCGAGCGGCGAACGGGUGAGUAAUACAUCGGAACAUGUCCAUGUCGUGGGGGAUAGCCCGGCGAAAGCCGGAUUAAUACCGCAUACGCCCGAGAGGGGAAAGUGGGGGACCGCAAGGCCUCACGCGAUUGGGUUGGCCGAUGUCCGAUUAGCUAGUUGGCGGGGUAAGAGCCCACCAAGGCGAUGAUCGGUAGCUGGUCUGAGAGGAUGAUCAGCCACGCUGGGACUGAGGCACGGCCCAGACUCCUACGGGAGGCAGCAGUGGGGAAUUUUGGACAAUGGGGGCAACCCUGAUCCAGCCAUUCCGCGUGAGUGAAGAAGGCCUUCGGGUUGUAAAGCUCUUUUGUCCGGAACGAAACGGUGCACGUGAAUAUCGUGCGCUACUGACGGUACCGGAAGAAUAAGCACCGGCUAACUACGUGCCAGCAGCCGCGGUAAUACGUAGGGUGCGAGCGUUAAUCGGAAUUACUGGGCGUAAAGCGUGCGCAGGCGGUUUUGUAAGCCAGAUGUGAAAUCCCCGGGCUUAACCUGGGAAUGGCAUUUGGGACUGCAAGGCUGGAGUGUGGCAGAGGAGACUGGAAUUCCUGGUGUAGCAGUGAAAUGCGUAGAUAUCAGGAGGAAUACCGAUGGCGAAGGCAGGUCUCUGGGCUGACACUGACGCUCAUGCACGAAAGCGUGGGGAGCAAACAGGAUUAGAUACCCUGGUAGUCCACGCCCUAAACGAUGUCGACUGGUUGUUGGGGGUUUGACACUCUCAGUAACGAAGCUAACGCGUGAAGUCGACCGCCUGGGGAGUACGGCCGCAAGGUUAAAAACUC
rnacentral:rRNA from 1 species